rnacentral:rRNA from 1 species
CACGUAGGGGACGAGCGUUGUCCGGAUUCAUUGGGCGUAAAGCGCGCGUAGGCGGCUCGGAAAGUCGGUCGUGAAAUGCCGGGGCUCAACCCCGGGACUGCGUCCGAUACUCCCGAGCUGGAGGCAGGUAGGGGAGAUCGGAAUUCCUGAUGUAGCGGUGAAAUGCGCAGAUAUCAGGAGGAACACCGGUGGCGAAGGCGGAUCUCUGGGCCUUGCCUGACGCUGAGGCGCGAAAGCUAGGGGAGCGAACAGG